GACGAACGCUGGCGGCGUGCUUUACACAUGCAAGUCGAACGGAAAGGCCCUGCUUUUGUGGGGUGCUCGAGUGGCGAACGGGUGAGUAGCACGUGAGUAACCUGCCCUUGACUUUGGGAUAACUUCAGGAAACUGGGGCUAAUACCGGAUAGGAGCUCCUGCUGCAUGGUGGGGGUUGGAAAGUUUCGGCGGUUGGGGAUGGACUCGCGGCUUAUCAGCUUGUUGGUGGGGUAGUGGCUUACCAAGGCUUUGACGGGUAGCCGGCCUGAGAGGGUGACCGGCCACAUUGGGACUGAGAUACGGCCCAGACUCCUACGGGAGGCAGCAGUGGGGAAUAUUGCACAAUGGGCGGAAGCCUGAUGCAGCAACGCCGCGUGCGGGAUGACGGCCUUCGGGUUGUAAACCGCUUUCGCCUGUGACGAAGCGUGAGUGACGGUAAUGGGUAAAGAAGCACCGGCUAACUACGUG
rnacentral:rRNA from 1 species